rnacentral:tRNA from 1 species
AGUUCUGUAGCUUAGUCGGGUAAAGCGCCAAACCGAAAACACCUAGUUGUGGGUUCAAAUCCCACCAACAUCA